rnacentral:tRNA from 1 species
UCCCUCAUAGCUCAGUUGGUAAAGAAUCUGCCUACAAUGCAGGAGACCUGGGUUUGAUCCCCGGGUCAGAGAG